rnacentral:rRNA from 1 species
CCUACGGGCGACAGCAGUCGAGAAUCAUUCACAAUGGGCGAAAGACUGAUGCUGCGACGCCGCGUGGGGGAAUGAAGCUCUUCGGAUUGUAAACUCCUGUCAUGUGGGAGCAAAUUAAAAAGAUAGUACCACAAGAGGAAGAGACGACUAACUCUGUGCCAGCAGCCGCGGUACUACAGAGGUCUCAAGCGUUGUUCGGAAUCACUGGGCGUAAAGCGUGCGUAGGCUGUUUCGUAAGUCGUGUGUGAAAGGCGCGGGCUCAACCCGCGGAUGGCACAUGAUACUGCGAGACUAGAGUAAUGGAGGGGGAAGCGGAAUUCUCGGUGUAGCAGUGAAAUGCGUAGAGAUCGAGAGGAACACUCGUGGCGAAGGCGGGUUCCUGGACAUUAACUGACGCUGAGGCACGAAGGCCAGGGGAGCGAAAGGGAUUAGAUACCCUUGUAGUC